rnacentral:rRNA from 1 species
UACGUAGGCGGAAAAUUAAGUCAGUAGUGAAAUCCUGCAGCUUAACUGUAGAACUGUUAUUGAUACUGGUUUUCUUGAAUAUAGUUGAGGUAGGCGGAAUGUGUAAUGUAGCGGUGAAAUGCUUAGAUAUUACACAGAACACCGAUUGCGAAGGCAGCUUACUAAGCUAUGAUUGACGCUGAGAUACGAAAGCGUGGGGAGCGAACAGGAUUAGAUACCCUGGUAGUCC